UUUCCACAUCACCAUCAUCAUCAUCAUACACCCUGUGUGGGUGUACUGGGGAAGUACAGGACGUUACAAACACACAAUCCUCUAGGGGUUAGGAGCUACUGAGGUAAAGGAAUCCUCUAGGGGUUAGGAGCUACUGAGGUAAAGGAAUCCUCUAGGGGUUAGGAGCUACUGGGGUAAAGGAAUCCUCUAGGGGUUAGGAGCUACUGAGGUAAAGGAAUCCUCUAGGGGUUAGGAGCUACUGGGGUAAAGGAAUCCUCUAGGGGUUAGGAGCUACUGAGGUAAAGGAAUCCUCUAGGGGUUAGGAGCUACUGAGGUAAAGGAAUCCUCUAGGGGUUAGGAGCUACUGAGGUAAAGGAAUCCUCUAGGGGUUAGGAGCUACUGAGGUAAAGGAAUCCUCUAGGGGUUAGGAGCUACUGAGGUAAAGGAAUCCUCUAGGGGUUAGGAGCUACUGAGGUAAAGGAAUCCUCUAGGGGUUAGGAGCUACUGAGGUAAAGGAAUCCUCUAGGGCAGGGGUGUCAAAGUCAAAUGGACGGAGGGCCAAAUAAAAAAUUUAGCUACAAGCCGAGGGCCGGACUGUUCGAAUGUUCAUUGAAAAAUUUUUAAAUGACGCAUAUAGUCUAGUGAACCUAAUUGAACCUACUGAAAACCUAACAAAUAUAUUCCAAUAUGAUCAGAUAAAUAAAGCAAUAUUUUCUUAUGGCUCUGUCAGUAAUCUUUAAUUUUCAACAGACACAAAAGACAAAUUUCCUUUAUAUAAAAAUCCCCAUAACAUGAACAUUAAAUGAAAGAAACCGGUAUUCAAGGCACCAUCAGUAGCCUAUAUUUUCUAUUUUAGCAAAAGUGGGCUAAAUUUACUUCAAAGAAAAAAACAAUAAUAGCAAUUUUCUAUCAUCCACUCAACUGAAA